rnacentral:rRNA from 1 species
ACUCCUACGGGAGGCAGCAGUGGGGAAUAUUGCACAAUGGGCGCAAGCCUGAUGCAGCCAUGCCGCGUGUGUGAAGAAGGCCUUCGGGUUGUAAAGCACUUUCAGUCGUGAGGAAGGUAGUGUAGUUAAUAGCUGCAUUAUUUGACGUUAGCGACAGAAGAAGCACCGGCUAACUCCGUGCCAGCAGCCGCGGUAAUACGGAGGGUGCGAGCGUUAAUCGGAAUUACUGGGCGUAAAGCGCAUGCAGGUGGUUUGUUAAGUCAGAUGUGAAAGCCCGGGGCUCAACCUCGGAAUAGCAUUUGAAACUGGCAGACUAGAGUACUGUAGAGGGGGGUAGAAUUUCAGGUGUAGCGGUGAAAUGCGUAGAGAUCUGAAGGAAUACCGGUGGCGAAAGGCGGCCCCCUGGACAGAUACUGACACUCAGAUGCG